GGACGACUGAAACCCUAGAAAUUAUAGUCAAACAAAGAGGAGAAACAACAAUAAACCCUAGAAAUUGAAUCAGUAGAGAAAUAAAAUUCUCGAUUUCGAUUUCGAUAUUGUGAUUAUUGGUGAGAGAUUGGUGGAUAAAUAGAUUAUGGCUUACCGAUGAGAGAGAAAAGCGGCUAGCGCUGGUUCGAGAGAGAAGAGAGCAAUAGAUAAUCCUACCCAC
rnacentral:misc_RNA from 1 species